rnacentral:lncRNA from 1 species
GUGGUUACAAGACUGAGGUUAUUACUGUCAAGUCAUCAAAGGACACUGUUGAUGGACCAACCUCACCUGUCAAGACCACCACAAGGUACAGUAACUCGUUUAGCCUUGUUUAGAUUGCUGACUAAACUGAGCAAAUGUGGCUGCUUUCUUAACCCCAUAACAUGUUCAAUUCUAGCAUCAAAACUUACACCAAAGAGGAUGUUUCACCAACUAAAACAACAUUAUAUUCUGUCCGAUCCACAAAGAGCACUGAGGAUCAGCUGUUUGAUACUCUCAUACCAACAUCUAUCAAGUCAGCCAACACUAAACCUGACCGCAGGUAUGUGGUAUUUGCAUAUCUAUAAACUAGUACUGUCAAACGAUUAAUCGCGAUUAAU